AUCUAAUGCUUUCCACUAUUGCUAUCUUGUACUACCUGACUCCAGUUGCUACACAUUGCCGAUAUAUCCUUCCUUUGAUUAUCUAAGCUAUUGUACUUGCUAUGGUAUCGAUCGUUAGACUGUAUUGGUGUCUUGCUACAAAUUGGACAGGUUGACAGGUAGUUGGUCAUUACAUUCUAUUUGUUCUGUCAUUAAUACCGCAAACGUUUAGCUAUUAUAUUGUUAGAGCUAUGUAGGCUCCUGUGGAAGGUCUUCACCUUAACAAAUUGUAUGAGUAUGUAGUCUGAUAUGGCCAAGUGCCAGAUUUAUUGAGAUAUUUGAAAACUUUCAACAACGGAUCUCUUGGCUCUCGCAUCGAUGAAGAACGCAGCGAAAUGCGAUAAGUAAUGUGAAUUGCAGAAUUCAGUGAAUCAUCGAAUCUUUGAACGCACAUAGCGCCCUUUGGUAUUCCUUAGGGCAUACCUGUUCGAGCGUCACUGCUAACUUCCUCACAAAUAUUGUGGUCUUGGUUGCUGUAGAUUGUGGGUAUAUUUAGUACAUAUGCUCACGAGAUACUCUGCUAAAAUUCAUCAGGUGGAUACCAGGUAUAAAUAACAGACUUUAUAAAUGUCU
rnacentral:rRNA from 1 species